AGUUGCUCUGCUUUUGUCUUGUCGACAGACACUGAAGCAACUCAUCUCAUCUGGAUUAAUUUGACGUCUUUUAAAGGCAGCCUGCACCUUCAUAAAAAGCUCCUGCACCAAGUGCCUCCAUGGUGCCUCCGGCGAAGAGCGACAGGAUCAUCACUCACCUCCCCAAGUGCUUCAGUCCCAGAGCGGCGCUGCACACCGAAGACGUCUUCCACCCCGACGUGACGGCCGCCUGCCACCACCGCAGGGAGGACGCCGUCAG